rnacentral:rRNA from 1 species
AAUAAGAGGUCACGCCUGCCCAGUGACUAUAUGUUCAACGGCCGCGGUAUACUGACCGUGCAAAGGUAGCGCAAUCACUUGUCUUUUAAAUGGGGACCUGUAUGAAUGGCAUCACGAGGGCUUAACUGUCUCCUUUCUCCAGUCAGUGAAAUUGAUCUCCCCGUGCAGAAGCGGGGAUAAAAACAUAAGACGAGAAGACCCUAUGGAGCUUUAGACACAAAGUCAGAUUACGUCAAUCACCUUUGCAUAAAAAGAUAAAACUAAGUAACACCUGUUCUUAUGUCUUCGGUUGGGGCGACCUCGGGGAGACAACAAACCCCCAAGCGGAACAGAGGCACAGCCUCCCAAGCCAAGAGCUCCUGCUCUAAGAAAUAGAAAUUCUAACCUUCAAGAUCCGGCAACGCCGAUCAACGAACCGAGUUACCCUAGGGAUAACAGCGCAAUCUCCUUAUAGAGCCCGUAUCGACAAGGGGGUUUACGACCUCGAUGUUGGAUCAGGACAUCCUAAUGGUGCA